rnacentral:rRNA from 1 species
AGCAUGUGGUUAAUUCGAUGCAACGCGAAGAACCUUACCUACUCUUGACAUCCAGAGAAUUCGCUAGAGAUAGCUUAGUGCCUUCGGGAACUCUGAGACAGGUGGUGCAUGGUUGUCGUCAGCUCGUGUCGUGAGAUGUGGGUUAAGUCCCGCAACGAGCGCAACCCCUACGUUUAGUUGCUAACAGGUGAAGCUGAGCACUCUAGACGAACUGCCGUUGACAAAACGGAGGAAGGUGGGAUGACGUCAAAUCAUCAUGCCCCUUAUGUUCUGGGCUACACACGUGCUACAAUGGCCGGUACAGACGGAGGCGAAGCCGCGAGGCGGAGCAAAUCCGAAAAAGCUGGUCUCAGUUCAGAUUGCAGGCUGCAAUUCGCCUGCAUGAAGUCGGAAUCGCUAGUAAUCGCGGAUCAGCACGCCGCGGUGAAUACGUUCCCGGGCCUU